rnacentral:sRNA from 1 species
CCGCAGCAAUCUGUUGCGGGCAGAUGUAGUGGAUGUGCGUGUCCAUCCCGGCAGGUGUCAGAAUCAAGUGCUCACCGGUGAUCGCAUCCGUUGCGGUGCCCGUAACCAGUCCCGGGGUGACACCAUUCAUCGUGGCGGGAUUCCCGGCUUUCCCGACGCCGGCGAUGCGACCAUUGCGAACGCCGACAUCGGCCUUGAUCACGCCCAGCACUGGAUCGAGGAUCGUCACAUUGGUGAUGACGAGAUCGAGGCAACCCUGCUCUUGCGUGAUUUGGUUGUCGGAGCCCAUCCCAUCACGA